CACAGUGUUGGCUCAGACACAUCACCAAGGCACCACCACCAGGGGACCACUACCACCAUCAGGGCACCACCACUAGGGGACCACCACCACCACCAGGGUACCACCACCAGGGGACCACCACCACCACCAGGGCACCACCACCAGGGGACCACCACCACCACCAGGGCACCACCACCAGGGGACCACCACCACCACCAGGGCACCACCACCAGGGGACCACCACCACCACCAGGGCACCACCACCAGGGAACCACCACCACCAGGGCACCACCACACGGGGACCACCACCACCACCACCACCACCAGGGCACCACCACCAGGGCACCACCACCAGGGCACCACCACCAGGGGACCACCACCACCACACCAAGGUAAGUACUGCUUCCCUUCCCCUUACAGCCUUGGGUGAUGUGUUUCCAUCAUUGUUAGCCAUCACCCCAUCUUACAGCCUGGGGUGAGGUGUUUCCAUCAUUGUUAGCCGUCACCCCAUCUUACAGCCUGGGGUGAGGUGUUCCCAGCCAUUGUUAGCUGUCACCCCAUCUUACAGCCUGGGGUGAGGUGUUCCCAUCAUUGUUAGCCAUCACCCCAUCUUACAGCCUUGGGUGAUGUGUUCCCAUCAUUGUUAGCCAUCACCCCAUCUUACAGCCUGGGGUGAUGUGUUCCCAUCAUUGUUAGCCAUCACCCCAUCUUACAGCCUGGGGUGAGGUGUUCCCAUCAUUGUUAGCCAUCACCCCAUCUUACAGCCUGGGGUGAUGUGUUCCCAGCCAUUGUUAGCCGUCACCCCAUCUUACAGCCUGGGGUGAGGUGUUCCCAGCCAUUGUUAGCUGUCACCCCAUCUUACAGCCUGGGGUGAGGUGUUCCCAGCCAUUGUUAGCCGUCACCCCAUCUUACAGCCUGGGGUGAGGUGUUCCCAGCCAUUGUUAGCUGUCACCCCAUCUUACAGCCUGGGGUGAGGUGUUCCCAGCCAUUGUUAGCCAUCACCCCAUCUUACAGCCUGGGGUGAGGUGUUCCCAUCAUUGUUAGCCAUCACCCCAUCUUACAGCCUGGGGUGAUGUGUUCCCAUCAUUGUUAGCCAUCACCCCAUCUUACAGCCUGGGGUGAUGUGUUCCCAGCCAUUGUUAGCUGUCACCCCAUCUUACAGCCUGGGGUGAGGUGUUCCCAGCCAUUGUUAGCCAUCACCCCAUCUUACAGCCUGGGGUGAUGUGUUCCCAUCAUUGUUAGCCAUCACCCCAUCUUACAGCCUGGGGUGAUGUGUUCCCAUCAUUGUUAGCUGUCACCCCAUCUUACAGCCUGGGGUGAGGUGUUCCCAGCCAUUGUUAGCUGUCACCCCAUCUUACAGCCUGGGGUGAGGUGUUCCCAUCAUUGUUAGCUGUCACCCCAUCUUACAGCCUGGGGUGAUGUGUUCCCAUCAUUGUUAGCUGUCACCCCAUCUUACAGCCUGGGGUGAUGUGUUCCCAUCAUUGUUAGCUGUCACCCCAUCUUACAGCCUGGGGUGAGGUGUUCCCAGCCAUUGUUAGCUGUCACCCCAUCUUACAGCCUGGGGUGAUGUGUUCCCAUCAUUGUUAGCUGUCACCCCAUCUUACAGCCUGGGGUGAGGUGUUCCCAGCCAUUGUUAGCUGUCACCCCAUCUUACAGCCUGGGGUGAGGUGUUCCCAACCAUUGUUAGCUGUCACCCCAUCUUACAGCCUGGGGUGAGGUGUUCCCAGCCAUUGUUAGCCCACACCCCAUCUUACAGCUUGGGGUGAGGUGUUCCCAUCACUGUUAGCCGUCACCCCAUCUUACAGCCUGGGGUGAGGUGUUCCCAGUCACUGUUAGCCGUCACCCCAUCUUACAGCCUGGGGUGAGGUGUUCCCAGUCACUGUUAGCCGUCACCCCGCUUUCCACGCCUCCCUUAACUCGUUGCCCAGGCCUCAACAGUCACUCUUUAGCACCUUACUUUGAAAAUUUGCUGAUAAAUUUGCGUGGCUCUUGCCUGUGCCACAUGACCGGCGGGCCGACCACCAGGCCCGCCAAGAAAGCCUUCUGGCGCUGCAGGCGGAGCGUAAACAAUGAAAAAAAAAAUGCAAUUGUAAAAAAACAGUAAAAGUUGACCUCUGAGGCUGUUGGGGAAUGAAUUCACUCCCAGAAACAUGCCAAUAGUUGUAGCAGUAGUAUAUGUGAAGUAACAGUAGCAGUAGUAGUAAUAGUAGUAGUAGUAGUAGUAGUAGUAGUAGUAGUAGUAGUAGUAUGUAGUAGAAUCAUUACCAUUAUUGUCAGUAAUAGUAGUAGUAGUAGUAGUAGUAGUGGAAAGAGAAACAUUACCAUUGUUAUCAGUAGCAGGAGUAAUAGUAGAAGUAGUAGUGGUGUUGCAGCAGCAGCAGAAGAAGCAUAGGAAGAAGGGGGAGAGGUAACCCUUGAAGGAGCAAUAUCCCUUAAAAGUUGACCUCAAAACUUCGCCUUGAAAAACUAUUAAACAUUUACGCAGACUUUUCAACGACAACCUGCAGCACAGUCUCUGAAGGGUGCCACAGCAGAGGAAGGGGAAAACAAACAGCAGAAAGGCCUGCUGGAGGGAUGCGGAGGGGGGGGGGGGGGAGGAGACCAGCUGGAAGACCAAAGAAGACUUGGAGACAGUGUGUAGAGGAAGGCAUGAAGAGGAGGAGCACCAGGGAGGAGACCAGCUGGGAGGCCAAAGAGAUCAUGGAGACAGUGUGUGUGUGUGUGUGUGUGUGUGUGUGUGUGUGUGUGUGU